rnacentral:rRNA from 1 species
UGGUGGAGUGAUUUGUCUGGUUAAUUCCGUUAACGAACGAGACCUCAGCCUGCUAAAUAGUUCGAUCGAGGCAUCCGCCUCGGACUAUCGAAUCUUCUUAGAGGGACUUUUGGUGCGUAGCCAAAGGAAGUUUGAGGCAAUAACA